UACGGGGGGGGCAAGCGUUGUUCGGAAUUACUGGGCGUAAAGGGCGCGUAGGCGGCCUUCUAAGUCGAACGUGAAAUCCCUGGGCUCAACCCAGGAACUGCGUCCGAUACUGGAAGGCUUGAAUCCGGGAGAGGGAUGCGGAAUUCCAGGUGUAGCGGUGAAAUGCGUAGAUAUCUGGAGGAACACCGGUGGCGAAGGCGGCAUCCUGGACCGGUAUUGACGCUGAGGCGCGAAAGCCAGGGGAGCAAACGGG
rnacentral:rRNA from 1 species